AAAAAAUCAAUUUACUGAAUCUGAAUCCCAGCACUUGGCAAGCUGCACCCUGGAAAGGAUCCAGCACUGACCCUGGGAGGACACAGCUGUGAUAACCCCAUUCUGGGGCACACCUGAAGGGUCCUACACCACCUACACCUACACCUAAG
rnacentral:lncRNA from 12 species